rnacentral:piRNA from 1 species
UCUUAUUACAAAGGGGUAUGUGUU